AGCCAUAGCUCGGGGGGUAGAGCAUCUGCUUUGCAUGCAGAAGGUCCCAGGUUCAAUCCCUGACAUCACUA